AGGAGUGGAGCCUGCGGCUUAAUUUGACUCAACACGGGAAACCUCACCAGGCCCGGACACCGGAAGGAUUGACAGAUUGAGAGCUCUUUCUUGAUUCGGUGGGUGGUGGUGCAUGGCCGUUCUUAGUUGGUGGAGCGAUUUGUCUGGUUAAUUCCGAUAACGAACGAGACUCUAGCCUGCUAACUAGGCGUAUUUCGACAUCCCAAAGGCCCGCCGGUUUGGGGUUUCGACUCCUUACCGCGCGCGGUUUUUACUGUCGGCGUACAAACAAUUCUUCUUAGAGGGACAGGCGGCUUCUAGCCGCACGAGAUUGAGCAAUAACAGGUCUGUGAUGCCCUUAGAUGUUCUGGGCCG
rnacentral:rRNA from 1 species